AAAUGAAUAGACGGGGGCCCGCACAAGCGGCGGAGCAUGUUGCUUAAUUCGACGCAACGCGAAGAACCUUACCAAGGCUUGACAUCACCCGAAAACCUGCAGAGAUGCAGGGUCCCUUCGGGGGCGGGUGACAGGUGGUGCAUGGCUGUCGUCAGCUCGUGUCGUGAGAUGUUGGGUUAAGUCCCGCAACGAGCGCAACCCUCGUUCCAUGUUGCCAGCGGGUUAUGCCGGGGACUCAUGGAAGACCGCCGGGGUCAACUCGGAGGAAGGUGGGGACGACGUCAAGUCAUCAUGCCCCUUAUGUCUUGGGCUGCAAACAUGCUACAAUGGCCGGUACAGAGGGCUGCGAUACCGUGAGGUGGAGCGAAUCCCUAAAAGCCGGUCUCAGUUCGGAUCGAAGUCUGCAACUCGACUUCGUGAAGUCGGAGUCGCUAGUAAUCGCAGAUCAGCAACGCUGCGGUGAAUACGUUCCCGGGCCUUGUACACACCGCCCGU
rnacentral:rRNA from 1 species